GACGAACGCUGGCGGCGUGCUUAACACAUGCAAGUCGAACGGAAAGGCCCUGCUUUUGUGGGGUGCUCGAGUGGCGAACGGGUGAGUAACACGUGAGUAACCUGCCCUUGACUUUGGGAUAACUUCAGGAAACUGGGGCUAAUACCGGAUAGGAGCUCCUGCCGCAUGGUGGGGGUUGGAAAGUUUCGGCGGUUGGGGAUGGACUCGCGGCUUAUCAGCUUGUUGGUGGGGUAGUGGCUUACCAAGGCUUUGACGGGUAGCCGGCCUGAGAGGGUGACCGGCCACAUUGGGACUGAGAUACGGCCCAGAAUCCUACGGGAGGCAGCAGUGGGGAAUAUUGCACAAUGGGCGGAAGCCUGAUGCAGAAACGCCGCGUGCGGGAUGACGGCCUUCGGGUUGUAAACCGAUUUCGCCUGUGACGAAGCGUGAGUGACGGUAAUGGGUAAAGAAGCACCGGCUAACUACGUG
rnacentral:rRNA from 1 species